GACGAACGCUGGCGGCGUGCUUAACACAUGCAAGUCGAACGGUGAAGGUGGAGCUUGCUCCGCCGGAUCAGUGGCGAACGGGUGGGUAACACAUGGGCAACCUGCCCCUGACUUCGGGAUAACUCCUCGAAAGAGGUGCUAAUACCGGAUACGAAUCCUGCAGGCAUCUGCGGGAUUGGAAAGUUUUUCGGUCAGGGAUGGGCCCGCGGCCUAUCAGCUUGUUGGUGAGGUAGUGGCUCACCAAGGCGACGACGGGUAGCCGGCCUGAGAGGGGGACCGGGCACACUGAGACUGGGACACGGCCCAGACUCCUACGGGAGGCAGCAGUGGGGAAUAUUGCGCAAUGGGCGAAAGCCUGACGCAGCAACGCCGCGUGAGGGAUGACGGCCUUCGGGUUGUAAACCUCUUUCAGCAGGGAAGAAGCGAAAGUGACGGUACCUGCAGAAGAAGCACCGGCUAACUACGUGCCAGCAGCCGCCGUAA
rnacentral:rRNA from 1 species